CUCCAGGGCAACCGUGGCUUUCGAUUGUUACUGUGGGAACUGGAGGUAACAGUCUACAGCCAUGGUCGCCCCGCAGCA
rnacentral:pre_miRNA from 10 species